ACAUAAAGCAAUUAUUAAUUUAUAAAAAUAAUAGAUUUAAACGUGGCUUUAAAUCAGAAGUCGUUCUAUCUCCCUUUGUAUCAUCUCGAUUUGUUCUUUUAAUUGAGAACCUUCAUUACUCAUUAUAGAGCAAGCUACUACUGGCCUAGAAACUCCACAAGCUCGUCCUAAAGCUUGUUUGCUUCUAACAAAUACGUAAGGUACAUUUUUGUCUUCGCACAGUAGUGGCAGAUGUAAUAGAAUCUCCAACGGUUGGGCAUCCGCAGCCAUUACUAUAAAUGCUGAUAAUCCACGAUUUAAAGAUUUGGUCGCUUCGUUGGCUCCUUUCUUCAAUUGUUUAUAGUUCAUAGCUUGCUGAAUCAAGCUUAAUAACUUUGUUGUUAACGCAGAAUCAGCCAGUGGAUAUGCUUUUGGUGAUAUUUCAUCCAUCUUGAAGUUCUUUUCAAGUUGUUCGAAGCUGUUUCGAAUUUUAAUAUGACAGCAACUUAAAAAACCACUUGAUUAGUUCGAUGAACCUGCAAAAAUAACAGAAAAUUCGUUGUUACAUUUUGAAAUAAAACUAUCUGCGCGGUAUAUCCACGUGAGAAAACCAACCUCAAAAAUUCCGGUGUGCAUGAAUCUUCCGUUCUUCCGAUUUCGUAGAAUCGUUUUGACGAUAUAUAUUAUAUCGAGGAAUAGGCUGAGCUUUUUAAUUUCGUGGAAGAGAAAUAAAAAAUAAUAGGAAAACGUUUGACAAAUUUCGUUGCUCAAUUCCGUUAGACGCUUACAUUCGAUCGUGUGCUAGGUUGGUAGCGUCAUAAUAUAUGUAUAAAAUUGUAUCGUAGAUCGAUUGACUGUUGGAUAGAGAUUUCUUGGUGUUUCUCGCAAUAUCAGCCAAUCGAUACGUUGGGAAAGCUUGUAGGACAAAAUUCCUCUGUCAGCUUUCGCGUGUACGAAAGUACGUCUACAAGUUUCGUAAAUCUAUGACCCAAAAUAACGAUGACACAUGCGCAUUAUGACACGUGGGAUGGCGGUAUACAGAAUCAUUUAGCACUACUUCGAAAAUGAUGCGAAUAAAAUUUACUUGUAGUACAAUUACAUCGAGGAAGGAUUAACGUGAAUUUAUGAUUUAGUGAAAUUGGAUCAUUGCUCAAUGAUGAGACUUUCUCUCGUGUUUCAGUAAUGUCAUUUACGAUGUUUUGCUCUUCAGAUGAUUUAACAUCUCUUUCAUCCUCAAUUAGAUGCUGAUGGGUAUCAUCGGAAAGAAGUGUAUCGCAAAUUGCAAAGUAUCUUUGAAGAAUUUUAGAUAAGUUCUCUUUUUCUGCCAAUUGCAUCAAAGAUGAUGCUGAUGAAUUCUUUUCAUCGUAUCUUGGCAGAGACCAUUUGUUAAGCUCAUUAUUCUUACAAAUAUCUUGCGAAAGUACUUCUUCUUCGUCAGUUUUCAUUUUGCUUUUCAGGGUAUUGCUUACAAGUUUUUGGUCGAUUUUUUCAAAUUCGUGUAGUUCUGUCAAAUCCUUUGACGAUGCAUCGCAAAAUGUAAAACGCAGAUUGGCAGGCACGAUUUGUCCAUUAUGCGAAAUAUUAUUUUUGCGAAAAAAAAUAUUGUUUUCUAUGCUUUCGCAAGGUGGAUUAUACGAGAUUGUUCGUUUUACACAGUUCCUCACUAUAUAAUAUAAUAAAUUAAAAAGUACAGAGAAGUUUACAUCAUGUUUAUCGGACCACAUUAAUAAUUACUAUUGAGAAUAAUCGUAGAUGAUUUUUCUAAAAAUAUCCAAAUUUUCUUUCGAAAUUUUUAUUCAUUUUACUGUAGAAUUUCAAGUUUCUAGAAUAUUAAUUAUUGUAUGUAAAUGAUAAACUCUUAUACACACGACAUAUCGGUUAUAAAAUUAAUAUCGAUGACAGAUUGUUCGGAUAAUCACUGAUAAUUGCAAAACUUCGUUAUACAUAUAUCGUUGUUUUAUUUCACAACGUUUUACAUUGUUAUAUUAUAUAUAAUCAACAGAACGAAAUAAAUUUUGUGUUUUAAAGUCACUAAAGAGAUAAUAAAAAGAGAUAUAAAUAUAAAAAUUAUAGGAAAUAGACACAAACUUGUCUUCUGUAUUUUAAUGAAGAGCAGAAUUAAAAUUAGCAGUAUAGCAAUAUUUUUU